rnacentral:rRNA from 1 species
UACGAAGGGGGCUAGCGUUACUCGGAUUGACUGGGCGUAAAGGGCGCGUAGGCGGCUUGUACAGUCAGACGUGAAAUUCCUGGGCUCAACCUGGGGGCUGCGUUUGGUACGUGCGGGCUUGAGUUCGGAAGAGGGUCGUGGAAUUCCCAGUGUAGAGGUGAAAUUCGUAGAUAUUGGGAAGAACACCGUUGGCGAAGGCGGCGACCUGGUCCGAUACUGACGCUGAGGCGCGAAAGCGUGGGGAGCAAACAGG